rnacentral:rRNA from 1 species
GAUGAACGCUAGCGACAGGCCUAACACAUGCAAGUCGAGGGGUAGCACAGAAUAGCUUGCUAUUUGGGUGACGACCGGCGCACGGGUGAGUAACGUGUAUGCAACCUGCCUAUAAGAGGGGGAUAGCCUUUCGAAAGAAAGAUUAAUACCGCAUAAUACUGUUUACCUGCAUGGGUAGAUAGUUAAACUAAUUGGCUUAUAGAUGGGCAUGCGUUCCAUUAGAUAGUUGGUGAGGUAACGGCUCACCAAGUCAGCGAUGGAUAGGGGUUCUGAGAGGAAGGUCCCCCACACUGGUACUGAGACACGGACCAGACUCCUACGGGAGGCAGCAGUGAGGAAUAUUGGUCAAUGGGCGAGAGCCUGAACCAGCCAAGUCGCGUGAAGGAUGAAGGUCUUAUGGAUUGUAAACUUCUUUUAUAAGGGAAUAAAAAAGAUCACGUGUGGUCUAUUGCAUGUACCUUAUGAAUAAGCAUCGGCUAACUCCGUGCCAGCAGCCGCGGUAAUACGGAGGAUGCGAGCGUUAUCCGGAUUUAUUGGGUUUAAAGGGUGCGUAGGCGGUUUAUUAAGUCAGUGGUGAAAGUUUUCGGCUCAACCGGAAAAUUGCC